ACGAAGAGAAUAAAUAAUAAGUUAAAAUCCAUUUCAUGCAGCUGCACUAGAUCUAGUGGUACUCGGCCUGUAAUAUCUGCUAGUUUUUGGCUCCAUAUGGAGGGGCCUCUCUCUGCUUCCCAUUGGAGUAUUCGAGAUAAAAAAUCCAGUCCUCUGGACAGCAAAGGAGUUCUUCCUAUGGUGGUCCUAUAUCUGCUAACAUAUCAACUGGUAAGCUGUAGAUAUUUGAUGUCUUAUUAUUUUUUGUAUGUAUAUAUAAAUGUCAUCUAGUACUAUAAAUUAAUUUCAAUUGUGAACUCCACAAAAUUGAUGUAAUCUAGACGGAUCUUAGUGACGGAGUUGAAA